rnacentral:rRNA from 1 species
CCUACGGGAGGCAGCAGUGAGGAAUAUUGGUCAAUGGGCGAGAGCCUGAACCAGCCAAGUCGCGUGAGGGAGUACUGCCCUAUGGGUUGUAAACCUCUUUUGUCGGGGAGCAAACUCCGGACGUUUCCGGCUGUUAUAGUACCCGAAUGAAAAGCAUCGGCUAACUCCGUUCCAGCAGCCGCGGUAAUACGGAGGAUGCGAGCGUUAUCCGGAUUUAUUGGGUUUAAAGGGAGCGUAGAUGGGUUGUUAAGUCAGUUGUGAAAGUUUGCGGCUCAACCGUAAAAUUGCAAUUGAUACUGGCAGUCUUGAGUACAGUUGAGGUAGGCGGAAUUCGUGGUGUAGCGGUGAAAUGCUUAGAUAUCACGAAGAACCCCGAUUGCGAAGGCAGCUUACUAAACUGUGACUGACAUUGAUGCUCGAAAGUGUGGGUAUCAAACAGGAUUAGAUACCCUUGUAGUC